CUUUACUGUAGCUUUGUAUUAGACUUUGAGCAGAUCUGUGUAGGAUAGGUGGGAGGCUUUGAAGAGCGGUCGCUAGAUCGCUUGGAGCCGACGUUGAAAUACCACCCUGGUGUGUUUGAGGUUCUAACCUAGGUCCAUUAUCUGGAUCGGGGACAGUGCAUGGUAGGCAGUUUGACUGGGGCGGUCUCCUCCCAAAGUGUAACGGAGGAGUUCGAAGGUACGCUAGUUACGGUCGGACAUCGUGACGAUAGUGCAAUGGCAUAAGCGUGCUUAACUGCGAGGCUGACAAGCCGAGCAGAUGCGAAAGCAGGACAUAGUGAUCCGGUGGUUCUGUAUGGAAGGGCCAUCGCUCAACGGAUAAAAGGUA
rnacentral:rRNA from 1 species